rnacentral:rRNA from 1 species
AACGAACGCUGGCGGCAGGCCUAACACAUGCAAGUCGAACGCCCCGCAAGGGGAGUGGCAGACGGGUGAGUAACGCGUGGGAUCGUGCCUUUCGGUUCGGAGUAGGCCGGGGAAACCCGGGUUAAUACCGGAUACGUCCUUCGGGAGAAAGAUUUAUCGCCGAGAGAUCGGCCCGCGUCUGAUUAGCUAGUUGGCGGGGUAAUGGCCCACCAAGGCGACGAUCAGUAGCUGGUCUGAGAGGAUGAUCAGCCACACUGGGACUGAGACACGGCCCAGACUCCUACGGGAGGCAGCAGUGGGGAAUAUUGGACAAUGGGCGCAAGCCUGAUCCAGCCAUGCCGCGUGAGUGAUGAAGGCCCUAGGGUUGUAAAGCUCUUUCGGCGGGGACGAUAAUGACGGUACCCGCAGAAGAAGCCCCAGCUAACUUCGUGCCAGCAGCCGCGGUAA